CACGGAAUUAGCCGGUCCUUAUUCAUAUGGUACAUGCAAUAAGGGACACGUCCCUCACUUUAUUCCCAUAUAAAAGCAGUUUACAACCCAUAGGGCCGUCAUCCUGCACGCUACUUGGCUGGUUCAGGCUCUCGCCCAUUGACCAAUAUUCCUCACUGCUGCCUCCCGUAGGAGUUUGGACCGUGUCUCAGUUCCAAUGUGGGGGACAUUCCUCUCAGAACCCCUACUGAUCGUUGCCUUGGUGGGCCUUUACCCCGCCAACAAGCUAAUCAGACGCAUCCCCAUCCAAUACCGAUAAAUCUUUCGUCGAAAUCUCAGGCGAUCAAACGACUACAUAGGGCAUUAGGCCAACUUUCGCUGGGUUAUUCCCUAGUAAUGGGUAGGUUGGAUACGCGUUACUCACCCGUGCGCCGGUCGCCAUCAUAAAUUGCAAGCAAUCUAUAUGCUGCCCCUCGACUUGCAUGUGUUAAGCCUAUAGCUAGCGUUCAUCCUGAGCCA
rnacentral:rRNA from 1 species